rnacentral:rRNA from 1 species
GCCAGGUGUUCACACGCUUGGUUAAUUCUGCUCAAUGGUAAGCUAAAUAGCCGCAGUACCCUGACUGUGCAAAGGUAGCAUAAUCAUUUGGCUUAUAAUUGAAGUCUGGCAUGAAGGAAAUCAUGGGUAACAACUGUCUUCUAUGAAUUGGUAGAAUUUACUAAGUAGGUGAAAAUACCUAUAAAUUAAUAAUAGACGAGAAGACCCUAGAAAUUUUAAUAUAAAAGUAUUUUAAACUUACUAUUUUGUUGGGGCGACAGAAUAACAGUUGAACUUAUUUUAAUAUAUUUGUACUAAUUUUUGAGUAAAAUUAAAUUACUCUAGGGAUAACAGCAUAAUUUACUUAAAGUUUGUGACCUCGAUGUUGGACUAGGGUUUUUAAUAAUCAGAAGUUAUUAAACUAGGCUCUGUUCGAGCUUCAUUCCCU